CUUCAUUCGUUUUUUAAGGGUUGAAGGUUUAAAAUAAAAAAAACGCACUGAUUUACACGUCUUUCUCACACUACUACUGUAAUAUAGAUAUCUGUGAUAGCGCCAUAUUGUUCUAUGCACAAACCUAUCAAUAUGAAUGGCUGCAAUAAGUAUAGCACCACAUUGUAGUUUAUGGCGUCAUGUCACAAUGGAUAUUGGAUAAGGAAUAGGGAUAACCAAGUAACCGACACUCGAAUCAUAAGCGUUUCUCAUUUCUUAAACCGUGAUCAUAAAAAUACAUUGUGAUUUGUGAAUAGUGAAUACUAAAUUGAAUUGUGAUAAUAUGAUAUUCUAUAAAAUGGCGAUUAAAUAUUGAUGAUCGUUUAUUGUUUAUUGUAUAAUAGAGUGAUUUGUUUACUGUGCCAGCGUGAACUGUGUAACGAAGUUACUCUAUAGUCUAUUGCAGUUACACGUUUUCUGGAUGUUUUAUAUUUAUUGAAUAGUGUCUACCUCGUUUCUUCAGAUUUUUAGUUUUUAUUUGAUAAAUGAAGCAUAAAAUCAAAUUUUACGAUUCCGUAUCAAUACGAUUGAGAAUAUGAAGAUUUAAACUUAACAAUUUUGUGAUUUUUUGAACAGUCACAAGUCUAGUAUGUGAACAUUUUUGGGACUUAUUUAUAAUUUGUAUAAUCAUUUUAUACAGAAUGUCCACCGUUAAAUUAUGUUUGUGUGCACUACACACUGAUAUUGCACAAAAUGGUAGCAAUUUGGAUGUUCAAGCUUCCCAACAGCGCAUUUUUCAGAUAAAUCAGUAUUUCAAAAGUGACAUCACGUUUAUCAAAUCUGAGUUAACACUCAAAAUGUUAUUUGCGGAUGAUAAAGGAAUUAUAUGUUUUGCAAAAUCAAUCAUCAGCUUAGAUCUAAUAAAUAUUAAAAUAAUUACAGCUGAUAUUCUGUUCUUAUUUCAACAGUUAAUUGAGUCAUUUCCUAUGUAUAUUGUAAAUUACAUAAAACCAAUAAUGAAUUUAUGUAAUCUAUCCACCAUAAAUUAAAAAAAAAAUGCAGACUUAAGUAUAAGAACUUACCAAAUAUAUGAAAAAUUAUUAGAGAUAAAGCAUUUCAGUGAUCAAAUUGAAGUUAGUAAAAUAGUUAAACACUUAAAUAAUUAAGUUUCAUUAGGUAACAAAAUACCCCUUACAGCCCGCCAGCAUAUAUAUAAUCUAUUUGAUAUAAUUUCUCAACAUCAUCCUAUGUACUUAAAAAAUUAUGAAGAUAAACUCAUGAAUCUGUUUUGUUAUGAACUCCAAAGUCAGAUAAAUAUACGGGAGACAAAUUUAAAAUAAUUUUUAUCUCCUGUGGCUGUAGGAUGUUUAAAUGGAUUGACAGGAUUUUUAAAUAAUUUUGCUGACCAUAUCAAAACUCGUGAUUAUUGUCUACGAUUAUAUGAAAUAUUAAAAAAAUUAAUUGGAAUUGUUGAAGAGAAUAAAAGACAUGUUAUUAAUCGAACUGGUCUAAAUUUAUUUCAAAAACAUAUUCAAUUAUUUUUAAAGUUAGUAUUUCAAAAUUCAACUGAAGUUAUGUGGUUUCAAAAAAAACUUUGGGAUUGGAGUUUAUUG